UACGGGGGGGGCAAGCGUUGUUCGGAAUUACUGGGCGUAAAGGGCUUGUAGGUGGCCAACUAAGUCAGACGUGAAAUCCCUCGGCUUAACCGGGGAACUGCGUCUGAUACUGGAUGGCUAGAGUGUGGGAGAGGGAUGCGGAAUUCCAGGUGUAGCGGUGAAAUGCGUAGAUAUCUGGAGGAACACCGGUGGCGAAGGCGGGUUGCUGGGCCGACACUGACGCUGAUGCGCGAAAGCGUGGGGAGCAAACAGG
rnacentral:rRNA from 1 species